CUCCCCCUCCCCCGCGGGAGUCGCUGAGCUGCGGGUCUGACCCAGGUUGAAAGGGCCCCAGGUUCCGUGGGGAAUCCGUGCGGGAACGACGCCUAAGCCCAGCAAACGAGCUGGGCGGUGGCGUGCGGCGUGCGGCGCCGUUAAGGGCGCUGCCGCGCGCGCUCUCAGGCCGCCCCGAGUCCUGGGGGGACUUCGAAGGAGGAUCCGCGCCUGGGGCCAGAGAACGGGGCAGACGGGGGCACUGCCGGAGGCCGAGCCGACGCAGUGUCUCCAGUCGUAGGUUGGUGCCUGGGGUCGGGGACCGAGGUUUGGGCGCUGCCUGCCUGAGCGGAGAUCCGGGUUUGCCUCCGCCCCCGCUCAGGACCCUGACGCGGGUGAGGCGGCCCCGGGAGCAUGAGCGGGCAGCGCGUGGACGUCAAGGUGGUGAUGCUGGGCAAGGAGUACGUGGGCAAGACGAGCCUGGUGGAACGAUACGUGCACGACCGCUUCCUGGUGGGGCCCUAUCAGAACACCAUCGGGGCCGCCUUCGUGGCCAAGGUGAUGUCCGUUGGAGACCGGACGGUGACUUUAGGUAUUUGGGACACAGCAGGCUCUGAGCGCUACGAGGCGAUGAGCCGAAUCUACUACCGGGGUGCCAAGGCUGCCAUCGUCUGCUACGACCUGACGGACAGCAGCAGCUUUGAGCGGGCAAAGUUCUGGGUGAAGGAACUGCGCAACCUAGAGGAGGGCUGUCAGAUCUACCUGUGCGGCACCAAGAGUGAUCUGCUGGAGGAGGACAGGCGGCGUCGACGUGUGGACUUCCACGACGUCCAGGACUAUGCAGACAAUAUCAAAGCUCAGCUCUUUGAAACAUCCAGCAAGACAGGCCAGAGUGUGGACGAGCUCUUCCAGAAAGUGGCAGAGGAUUACGUCAGUGUGGCUGCCUUCCAGGUGAUGACAGGGGAAGCUGCCAGGACCAGACUUCCUUCCUGCCAUUCUGUUCUCAUGAUGUGACCUGGGAGUCCAGCUCCAGUAAGUAGAUGCUGCUGAGCCUGGAAAAGGAUCGCUGAUGCACUUCGUGCCCUGACUGUAGUGUGGGGUAGAGAAUGUGAAGAUAAAAUAAUUAUUUCCAUCAAUGCUAAAGAUGCAGAUUUGGUAGUUUUUCGUUAGAGGAUCAACACAGUGAUUUAAAUCACCUCAAACUCAGUAACUUCAGGGGGAAGCAGACAUUUAAAAACCUGGGAUGCUUCUGUAGCAAUGACAGCUAUUUUGCUAUUACAAUGGGUUUGCUCCAGGAGAAGCAAAUGAGGCUUUGAAUUCAAAUUUCAACAGUUUUUCUGACUUAACAGGGCUAGGAGACAUAUUGGUUCUUUAGCUACCUAUGGAAGCCAGCCAUGGCUUCACCCUCUGAAACAUUUCCUGAGGACUGGCUUAGAGGCAGACGCUCUUGAGAUCCUGAUUUCCAGGCCCUUGGCCAAAUACCAAAAUACCAUCCUGCACAAAGAUCAGGAGUUUCUAAGAGAAAAGCUUUCCUUUUAACUGCCAAUUCACGCCCUCUGGAAAAAAGGUCUCAGUACAAGACUCCAGGAGAGUCCCCAAGGGCUGGCAAGGUCACUCCCUCACCACUGUCCUUCAUGCAAGGGUCUCAAUUUCCCAACAGUCCAGUCCUUCUAAUUCUGCUUCUAAUUGUAUGGUGACUGCUUUCAUGAUGUUAACAAUCUGGUAUCAGAUGCUGCUAUCAGUGGGCCUGAUAGCUCAAUUUCUAGUUUCCAUUCCACCUAAGAGUCUUUCAGUAACCCUCACAAAAGCCUGGCUGUCCAUCCAUUUAGAUAAAGAACUGCCACCACCCCCCACCCCAAACCAAGCACAACUCAAAAGUUGUUUUCCCAGGCAAGUCUGGAAGGAAGUUUCCAGUAAAUGGUGGAGAAUGGAAAGAACCAAAACAAAAUCACAAAGUGGCCAAUCAUGGCCCACCUUUCCCUUAACUCCUUGUCCUAGAGCGGCUGUCAAGUCAAUUACCUACCAAAGCCUACUUCAGAGAAGCUAUUUAAGGAUCAAACUUCUCCACUUAAAAUUUUUUUACAUAGCCUGCACAUACCCCGCCCCCCCCCAAAUUCACAGUUUAUUUCAUGAAACAAAGAGCUACGGUAAUUUAACACACAACAUAGUGAAAGGAGAUUCUGACAGUGCAGUGCGAAUAUCUUUUUCUGAUCACAACUACUGAUGACAGGAGAGAAAAGGGCACAGGACUGGCACCAAGCAAACCCUACUCAUACAGCCUAAGAGAUUAGGGAAAGGGACCUACUAGCUGCAGUUAUAUACUUAUUAUUCUCACACAUGAUAAAUACUUAAUAUAGUGAACUUUAAUGUUCUGGGUGGAUUUCUUUAAAAAUAUCUUUUCCAUGGUUUAAAAUUUUUUUAAAAAGAAAAUAAGAUGCUUUGUUUUCUCUUCCUUUUGAAUAAAGAGCAUUUCCUCUCUCAUGAUGUGGGAAGAGAGGAUGAAAAGGGGAGAACUAGGCAGGUGGAAUUUACAGAGGAGAUUCCGAGGUCUAAGUGAGAUGCAGAGGUAUGCCCCUAAACUUGGGACAGCCCUGCCCAGCCUCGUACCUCUGCCUGAGUUCAAGUGUCUCAUCCCGAGACAGACUUUGGGAAAUAGAUGCAAAUUCUUCUUUUAAUCUUUAUAUAAAGCGCAAAUGCUUCUGUAACUAUUGUUCCCUCCUUAGAAAUGAUAUGGGUAACCUCAAUAGGAACUUAGGAGGAGGAAAUUGGGACAAAAUACAGAAUCCUGUUGAGGGUGUAAAAGCCAUAACUGAGACAGAAUGGCCGGGAGACAUUUGGGCCAGGAAAUGGCCUGUUGGCUAAAGCUGCUGGCUAAGUUGGCAAAGCAGAGAGGUAAACGUUUGGUCUAGGGACACAGGAGGAGUGAGUGAAUGGGAAGGAACUGGCCAAACAGCACUUCCUGUUGGCAGUUGGUGAGCUGGGUGAAUAGUAGGGCAGGGUAGCACCAACAGAUUUCCCAGCCCUUGGGCCCCAGCUCAGGGCAGCAGUAACAGAUAAUCAGCAGUUAUGAGGAAUCAUCUCUCAGACUGGACAUUGCUCUAAACACCAUAUCUUGCCAGUCAUAGGGGAAGGGUUCUGGCUUGCCUUUGAACUAAGUCAGCAGGCAGGUGCUCUCAAUAUAGAACACAGCAAUUCUCAGGGAUAGGGUGGUAGAAUCUACCAGUGAAGGAGAGGACUCCCUCCAUUCAGAUAGGAGGGCAAAGGAUCAAAAGAGAAGUAAUUUUCUAUCAGGAUCUGGCACUCUCCCUGAGCCGGCGGUAGAUCUAGCCCAGAGCUUGCCAGAGAUUCCCUAUGUCCACUGCCCGACUCUGAAAUCUGAAAGCACCUGAGUGUUUGGGGGGCAGGCAUGGGGUGGGGGUUGAUGUAAAAGGAGGAAAAUCAGUAGAAGAGAAAGGGAAGCUUGCCAAUUGCCUUCUUACACUCUGGGAAAGCUACGUCCUUGUAGAGCUCAGCCCCCACAACCAGCUACUCUGCCAAGGACAGAUCUUUAGAUUCUGCCCAGCCAACAGCUCCACAUGGCCUUGAUGCAACCCCCUCUCACCUAUAGAGGAGACCUCCACAUAAGGGUGUGUGCAUAAAUGUGCACACUCAACCAGAAGACACUUACUCAACACAACCACUUCUGGGGCCACAGAGGACAUUACAAAAUGAGUCUGUGGAGCCCCAGGGCCCCUCAGAACUUCCUGUUAUUUCCUGGUCAAAGGUUCAUGAAAACAGCCUGGGAACCCAGGCAGGCAUGUUAGGCUCACAGGGAUCAGGUCUUCUUUAUCUCUGUAUCUCCUGUCAGUGACUAGCACCUGGCCUAGCACAUGUGAAUGCUCAAGAAAUCACCACUGAUAUGAAUAGAUGUCAGUUCCUCCCAAGUGUUCAUCAGGGCCCUCAAUGGGGCUCCGCAGAACUAGAGAAAUAGCUUCGAGAGCCCCUCUAGCUUCCAACCUAACCAGUGGAAUUGAAUCCCAUGCUUGACUCCAGAGUGGACUUUUUAUUUCAAGUUACCAUGUGUAAAGGUUGGAGGAAAAAGACCCAAGUCUGUCUGUCUCCUUGGUUGGGGCCCACUUGGAUUUCCAUACAUGGUUUACACAACCACAUGCCCCCACUGGCUAAUGUCACAAGAGUUCUGAGUGUUGGGAUAUAAGGAAAGAAUAACAGUGGGAAAGUGUUGGGGUCUGUUUUUUUAAGAGGGGAAAAGAAAGAUGAUUUCCCUUCCCCAAGAACCCUGGGGGCAGCUGGUCUGGUCAUGUGACAUUUACUCGUAUUAUUUCUGUUCUGACUCUGCACACUUGUGACUGGAAGGAGCCUGGUUAAGAGCUGGAAGUGUAUUUUGCUCUGGUUUAGGGUCUUGCCCUCUUCCAAGAGACCAGCAAGUCUGUGCCAAUGUCUGUGUGCUCCCAGAGGACCAGCAAGACGGUGAUAUUGUCUGUCCAGCCACUAUAGGCCAGAGCCCUGGCCCUGGUGAGGCCUUUCCCAGGGCCCAGGGACUCUGCUCUGCGGUUGCCAACUUCUUCUCUUCAGUACAGAGGGAGGAUGGGGCCUUCCCAAGAGGCCUGAAGGAUUGCCCAUUCUUGGCAGCAAGUCCAGGUAGUUGCUGGCCUCCAGCCAUCUGCUUCACCUGCUUCACCAGGCCCGGUGCUUGACUGGGAGGCCCUGGUGUCUGCUCCACCCCCGCAGAUGCUCUUCCUGAGGCCGGAGUUGUUGGCUCAUAUAAAAAAGCCUUGGCAGGAGCCUGAGAGAGAAGUCUGGCCUGGCUCUCGGCAUCUGCCCUAGACCUUUGCUGGCAGUCCAUGAGCUUGAUUCCAACACCGGCAUCUUCUCAUCAAUCUGUGAUGUGACCUCAUGAGGUGAAGCAGCCCGUUCUUUCUGGUGAGGAGUUAGGUCCAUGAGAUCCAUUACCAAAGCAGCUCUAUUUUUUGACUGAGUAUUCUGGUCCACGGGCCUCAGUGCUUUUUCUUUAGCUACCAGGGUCUGGACCACAGCUGAUAGUACUUUGUCAGGAGGUGGGAGUCUCUGGGACAAAGAAGCAUGGGAUUUGUCUGGGGGCCUGUCUGAAGUCUGGGGUUUGGGACCACUGGUGACUAGCAGUCUGUCUGGAGGUGGAAGUCUUAGACCAGUAGGGACUGGGGCUUUCUCCAGUGACUGGGGCCUUGGGCUGGCAGCACCUAUGGAUUUAUCCAGCCUUGGGUCAGCUGUCCCCAGAGGUCUUUCCAGUGGUUGGGACCUGACUGAGGGUGAGGAGCUUAUGCCGGUCACUGGAGAGGGUUUGUCAGAUAGUUGGGGUCUUGGUCCUGCCACUGCAGGUGGCCUGUCCAGUGGCUUCUGGCUGGAUACCAAGGAUUGGGGUUUGGUCCCCGACCCAGCAAGGUCCCUGACCCUAUCUACAGGCUGGGGCCUGGAGUCAGUUCUGUCAGGAGGUCUUUCAGGCAGCGGUGGCCUCUGACAAGUUCCUGCCAGAGCUUUUUUGGACAGUGACAGUGUCUGGUUGGUGUCAGCAGGCAGCUUAUCCAACAUCUUGGGCCCCUGAGCAGCCACUCCUGAUGAAUGCUCUGCCAGGUGAGUGCCUGGGCCUGGAGGCAGCGGUACUGGGGGAGGCACAUACUCACGGAUCUCCCCAGGUUCCAGAGGGUUGGGCCCGCAGGGGUCAUGCUCAGUACAAGACAAACGCCCAUCCAACUUGGAGAUGAAGAGCAUCCCUUCCCGAUGCUGCUUACAAAAGGAACUGGGACACAUCUCACAGAAGGAGGCUGCUUCCUUCCCACAGAUGUCACACUGAUGCCAAGGACACUCCCAUUUCCCUGAAAACACAGAUGUGAAACAAACCCUUAGGAAAAUAAGCAAGGUACAUGAAAUGGGCCAUGGCUCUGAGCCUGGGUCAAAGGAGUGAUUUCAAACUGCCACCUUCUGCAGAUCAGGUCACUCAUCCAAUACCUCCCCUUGCCCCAGAAUCUCAGAUUCUCCUGUACAACACAUAAAAAUAAAAGCCAAGUACCAAGUAGCAAGUAAGUAUCAACUAAAUAUACAAGCAGAGGUAAUUUCUUAUUACUAUGACUAUUUCUAUCAAGGGGGAAAAAAACCCAAAUGUCCCUUUAGAUAGAAUGUGAAGAUAGUACUUUCACAGGUUUGCAAACUCCAUUUGUCUUAUAUAGCCUUUAAAAUAUUCAACUCUAAGGGGAUAAUCUCAAUUAUUUAAACUUCUGCUUAUUUGGUUAUAUUUAGGAAUAGGGAACUGAUACACAACUGUGAAAAAUGGGAACAGAUUUUCCUUUGCUCAAUUUUAAGCCUUGAAACCAGCACAAACUUUACCUAUACUGUGCACACAGAACCAGUGGAAAAGACCUUUACUUACCAUCUGUUUGCCCCCAUUUCAUGACACCUGAGAGUCUCUGUCAUGGACAGUGUUUCUGCCUCGGCUCAUAGUUUUCAAAUAAACUAUGCUAGCCCUGACUCCUGGCUCAUAGGCAAGAUCAGUUCUACUGUGGCCUGUGCCAGCUAUAAUCUUGAGUUAUUGAUUUUGAAACGAUUCUCCAUUUCUAUUUCCUGGCGCUGACAGGUCAUGUUGUGGCCUUGCCCUCACACUACCUCCAUUUAUAUGAUUUCAUUACCCUAGCAACUGUACACUGAAGGAAAGCUAGUUCAGAGACAAACUCCUCUCACUCUCACCCUAAAAUUCUUCUCUUUCUGCAAUUCCUGGAAGCAGGCCACUAGUGACGUAUAAUCUCACUGGGAGUGGCUCCGUACUGCUUUCAUACCUCUGUCAUCAAAAACAGACCACAUAUCCAAGUCCCUCAAAACUCUUCUAACUCCAAGUAACUGCUCAAAAGUUAGUGGCUUCUCCAGCUACCAAUUCCCAGACACUGUCUGCCUAAGCAGCUCUCUCACGCGUUAGCUGAUACAGUUGACUCUCCUUCAGAGGGGUGUAGGUGAGGGGGGCUAAAAGGGUGUCUAGUCCACAACUCACUGACUGGAAUAACCCCAAACUCUAUGCUGUCUUAACCUCUCUUUCUUUAGAAAGGAAACAUGGUUUAGUGGCCUUGAGGUCAGAAAACCUGGCUUUCAAUCCAGCUCCUCCAUCUAUAUGCUCUAUUAUGACAAUUCAUCUCACCAAACUGGACUCUCAGUUUCCUCAUCUGCAUCAUGGGAAGAAUGAGAACAUGAACCAUACCCCCUCAACGCUAUGCUUGGGAAGACCAAGGGGAGUGUUACAAUUACGGCAGAGAACAAAGAGCACCCUAAAUGGAUUUUAGCACCAACCUGCUGGUCGCUUGGUUAGAUUGAGACAGUCAGCGUGGUAAACUUUUGGGCAGCCUGGCUUCUUGCAAGAGACGAGCUGGCCAGCAUCCCCACAGCUGAAACACUCAUCCUCUCUUUCCUUUGUGAUUUCACCCUGGGUCCUGCGCUUCCCCUGUUGCUUCUUCUUGAAUUUCUUUGACUUUUCUUCCGUGGCAAUGGGUUGAUUCUAGAGGUCAGAUAUUGAGCAGUCAGCAUUCUGUCGAUACAUUAGUUGUAUGAUCUUGACCAGGUUAACUAUUCUCUCUGAGCCUCAGUCUCUCCUCUGGGAAGAGACAAUCCUCAUAGACUGUUGUAAAGAUAAGAGAAAAUACAGGAAAGGCACCUGGCACGUCAUAGGUACCCAAUAAAUAGUUGCAUUAAUUCUAACUUUUCUAUGAACUACUCCUGCCACCUGCAUGAAAUAAGAGAAAUAAACUUUUUUGUUAACAUA